rnacentral:lncRNA from 1 species
CCUCCUUCAAGUCUUAUAUCACUUUGGAGUGUCCAAGGUGCUUGUAAAAGAAAGAAAAGGUCAGCUGUCGUAGUUGUUUGCAGACUAGAAUCUUCGAGCCCCUAAUCUGCACCAGUCUUUGUGUGGAUUUUUCUAUAGAGAUUAGAUGACUUUGUGUGGCUAUGUGUGACCUGAGAAACACUCUCUCUAAUUGUUAGAUCAGAG